GAAUCGCUAGUAAUCGUGGAUCAGAAUGUCACGGUGAAUACGUUCCCGGGCCUUGUCACACCGCCCGUCACACCAUGGGAGUGGACUGCACCAGAAGUGGUUAGCCUAACUUCGGAGGGCGAUCACCACGGUGUGGUUCAUGACUGGGGUGAAGUCGUAACAAGGUAGCCGUAGGGGAACCUGCGGCUGGAUCACCUCCUUA
rnacentral:rRNA from 2 species